rnacentral:rRNA from 1 species
UAUCAAAAACAUCGCCUCUUGCUAAUUAUAAGAGGUCUAGCCUGCCCAGUGACCUAGUUCAACGGCCGCGGUAUCCUAACCGUGCGAAGGUAGCGUAAUCACUUGUUCUUUAAAUGAGGACUAGUAUGAAUGGCAUCACGAGGGUUAAACUGUCUCCCUUUUUUAAUCAGUGAAACUAAUCUCCCCGUGAAGAAGCGGGGAUAAAUUUAUAAGACGAGAAGACCCUAUGGAGCUUUAAACUAAGUAACAAUUGCCCUUUAAUUUUAUAAUUCCAGAACAAUAAACUCUAUUUUAACAUCAUGAUUACUAGUUUUAGGUUGGGGUGACCGCGGAGUAUAAAUUAACCUCCACAAUGAAAGAAACUUUAUUUCUUAGCCCAGAGUUACAACUCUAAGCACCAAAAAUUUGACAUAAAUUGAUCCAAUCUAUUUGAUCAACGAACCAAGUUACCCUAGGGAUAACAGCGCAAUCCACUUCAAGAGCCCCUAUCGACAAGUGGGUUUACGACCUCGAUGUUGGAUCAGGGUAUCCUAGUGGUGCAGCCGCUACUAAAGGUUCGUUUGUUCAACGAUUAAAACCCUACGUGAUCUGAGUUCAGACCGG